UAAAAACCCCGACUUCGGAAGGGGUGUAUUUAUUAGAUACAAAACCAAUGCCCUUCGGGGCUCUUUGGUGAUUCAUGAUAACUAUACGAAUCGCACGGCCUUGCGCCGGCGAUGGUUCAUUCAAAUUUCUUCCCUAUCAACUUUCGAUGUUUGGGUAUUGGCCAAACAUGGUUGCAACGGGUAACGGAGGGUUAGGGCUCGACCCCGGAGAAGGAGCCUGAAAAACGGCUACUACAUCCAAGGAAGGCAGCAGGGCCGCAAAUUACCCCAUCCCCAACUCGGGAAGGUAGUGACAAUAAAUACUGAUACAGGGCCCUUUCGGGCCUUGUAAUUGGAAUGAGUACAAUUUAAAUCCCUUAACAAGGAACAAUUGGAGGGCAAGUCUGGUGCCAGCACCCGCGGUAAUUCCAGCUCCAAUAGCGUAUAUUAAAGUUGUUGUGGUUAAAAGCUCGUAUUUGAACCUUGGGCCUGGCUGGCCGGUCCGCCUCACCGCGUGCACUGGUCCGGCCGGGCCUUUCCCUCUGUGAACCCCAUACCCUUCACUGGCGUGCCGGGAACAGGACAUUACUUUGAAAA
rnacentral:rRNA from 1 species